rnacentral:misc_RNA from 1 species
GCUGAGAGAAAGCGAACCAUUGCAAAACAGAUAGCAGAAAAAAAAUGGUAUUAAAAGAUUCAAAUUUUUAUAAAGUGAUACUUGGUGUUGUUUUGAUGUUUGUGGUUACACAUGGUUCAGAUCAGCUAAUUAGGGGUUACGAAAAAAGUGUA